GGAAGGGAUUAGACGAUACACCGACUCCUGGUCUUCAAAACCAGUGAGGUGCUGUAGAAGUGCCUGGCGGGUUCGACUCCUGCCUCUUCCGA
rnacentral:tRNA from 2 species